rnacentral:rRNA from 1 species
CAGCCGCCACGGGAAUACGGAGGGGGCUAGCGUUGUUCGGAAUUACUGGGCGUAAAGCGCACGUAGGCGGCUUGGUAAGUUAGAGGUGAAAUCCCGCAGCUCAACUGCGGAACUGCAUUCGAUACUGUUCAACUAGAGGAUCGGAGGGGGAAGCGGAAUUCUUGGUGUAGCGGUGAAAUGCGUAGAUAUCAAGAGGAACACCGGUGGCGAAGGCGGCUUCCUGGAAAAUACCUGACUCUGAAACACGAAAGCCAGGGGAGCGAAUGGGAUUAGAUACCCGCGUAGUCCCUGUCUCUUAUAC